AGUGAACGCUGGCGGUAGGCCUAACACAUGCAAGUCGAACGGCAGCACAGUAAGAGCUUGCUCUUACGGGUGGCGAGUGGCGGACGGGUGAGGAAUACAUCGGAAUCUACUUUUUCGUGGGGGAUAACGUAGGGAAACUUACGCUAAUACCGCAUACGACCUACGGGUGAAAGCAGGGGAUCUUCGGACCUUGCGCGAUUGAAUGAGCCGAUGUCGGAUUAGCUAGUUGGCGGGGUAAAGGCCCACCAAGGCGACGAUCCGUAGCUGGUCUGAGAGGAUGAUUAGCCACCCUGGCACUGAGACACGGUCCAGACUCCUACGGGAGGAAGCAGUGGGGAAUAUUGGACAAUGGGCGCAAGCCUGAUCCAGCCAUACCGCGUGGGUGAAGAAGGCCUUCGGGUUGUAAAGCCCUUUUGUUGGUAAAGAAAAGCAGCAGGUUAAUACCCCGCUGUUCUGACGGUACCCAAAGAAUAAGCACCGGCUAACUUCGUG
rnacentral:rRNA from 1 species